rnacentral:rRNA from 1 species
AAGUCGUAACAAGGUUUCCGUAGGUGAACCUGCGGAAGGAUCAUUCACAAACGAGUGUUUUAUGGCACUCUUUAAAAAUCCAUAUCCACCUUGUGUGCAAUGUUUGCUGGGAAAGUCUCUUUCUUUCCCUUCAUAAAUAUCAACCUAUAUCUUUAACGACAUUCGUCUGAUAACAUAUUAUGAAUAUACUUAAUUCAAAAUAUAACUUUCAACAACGGAUCUCUUGGCUCUCGCAUCGAUGAAGAACGCAGCGAAAUGCGAUACGUAAUGUGAAUUGCAGAAUUCAGUGAAUCAUCGAAUCUUUGAACGCAUAUUGCGCUCUUUGGUAUUCCGAAGAGCAUGCUUGUUUGAGUAUCAGUAAACACCUCAACCUCUCUUUUUUUGACAAAAAAAAGGAGGGUGGACUUGAGCUAUCCCAACGACCUUUAUCGGUAGGCGGGCGGCUUGAAAUGCAGGUGCAGCUGGACUUUUAUCUGAGCUAAAAGCAUAUCUAUUUAGUCCUCGUCAAACAGGAUUAUUACUUUUGCUGCAGCUAACAUAAAGGAUAAUCGUCCUCUUUGCUGACUGAUGCAGGAUUUUACGACACUUUAUGUGUUGUUCAACUCGAUCUCAAAUCAAGUAAGACUACCCGCUGAACUUAA